rnacentral:lncRNA from 1 species
AUACUGAGGGAAAGAUAUAAUAUCUUAAUAUUUUCUAUAAAAUUUUAAAAAUAUCUCAUUUAUUUUUAAUGGAUCAAAAUAUUUUUAUUUGUUUAAAAAUAAUAAUAAUUUUUUUUAUUCUUUGGCGUUCACUAAUGGGAUUAUAGUUUUAGAAAAAUAUUUUGAGAAAUAAAAGAUAAAUUUAAAAUUUUGAAUAGUAAUAGAAAGUAUAUAAGUAAAAAACUUUUAAGGUUGUGCUUGAUUUCUUUGAUUUUUUUUUUUUUCGAUCUAAAAGAAAAGUUUCUGAAUGUUUGAUUUGUCGUAAAAUAAAUUUUUAACGUAAAAGAUAGUUUACAGAUUUGAAUGAAAAUAUGGCUUCUCAUUUUUCUCUUAGUUUGUGCUGAAUAUAAAAACUUGCUCAAUAAAAAAACGUCACACCGACCGUCCCUAGAGCAAGUGGCAAAGGGCUUGGUAGUUGGUACCCGAGAUCUAAAUUCAAAUCCUAGUUGAUUUAUAUUUUCAGUUAAAUUUAUUUCUAAAUGAAAUAAAUGAAGCGGAUAGUGUGCUACGUAUCUCUAAAAAAAAAUAAAAAAUAAAGAAAUAAAAAAACGUCACGUACCCAAUUAUAUUAUUGGGGUGCACGAGAAAGGCCGGGGCUACUGUACUAAUCUACUAUUUAAUCAUUUCCACCUGUUAGAUUACACUAUCUAACCAACCACUUACUCAAUUCUAGAAAAUCACUAGCAUCUUAACCGUAUAUUUUUUCAUCCAACGGCCAAAAAAACGAAUAGCAUUUAUUGUAUAUCAAUAAACAACCGCACAUCUUUAUAUUUAUAGUUUAUUUAUAAAUAUAAACUAUAAUAAUAGCAUAUAUUGUAUAUCAAUAAUAUAUAAUACAUAGGAUAAAAGAAAAUACAUAUAAUAAUUUAUUAUUAUUAUUAUUAUUUCAACUAAACAAUCGGGAUGAAAAUUUUUUUUCUUUUCCUACAAACCAAAUAAUAAAUAGUGUAAUUUUUUUCUCCCACAAAAAAUUUUUCACCCAUAAAUACUUUUCAUAAUUUUACAUGGAACUAAACAGCCUUAAGUUGUACACCCCUCAUCUUAAAAUUUAACAUUUUAUAAUUUUCAUAUUUUUUUAAAUUAAUAAUAUAAGAAUUAAUUAUUGGCUCAUUUAUAAGGGAGUAUAAAAUAGGGUUAAUUGCAUAGUAAAUUACAAAUAUAUUCCAACAAAGUUCAAUUUUCAUAUAUUGAUCUUACAAAAGUUUCGAUAUUUUCAAAUAUGUCAUUGUCAUUGAAAAUUCGGUAGAAAAUUUUAAUUAACCAUCGGUUAAAUAUUUAACCCUAAUUAGUUAAUGAGGUAAAUUGACCUUUUUACCCUCUUCAAUAAUAGUUGGAAUUUUUGGAAGUAUAUAUUUGUGAUGACAAAAAGGUUACUUCACUUAUAAAAUAGACAGUAUUUUUACAGUAACAAAUCAGAGGGAUAUAUUUGAAAAUAUUAAGAUUUUUGUAAAGAUAAUAUAUGAAAGUUGAACUUUAUAGGGAUAUAUUUAUAAUUUACUAUAUUUGCAAGAAUAUGUAUGAAGUUAAUCCUAUAAAAUAUACACUCCUUUUUGGGUAUU